GACAGAGGGUGCAACCGUUGCUCGGAAUCACUGGGCGUAAAGGGCGUGUAGGCGGGAAGGUAAGUCGGGCGUGAAAUCCCUGAGCUCAACUCAGGAACUGCACUCGAAACUACUUUUCUUGAGUGCCGGAGAGGAAAGCGGAAUUCCUGGUGUAGAGGUGAAAUUCGUAGAUAUCAGGAGGAACACCAGUGGCGAAGGCGGCUUUCUGGACGGUAACUGACGCUGAGACGCGAAAGCGUGGGGAGCAAACAGG
rnacentral:rRNA from 1 species